rnacentral:rRNA from 1 species
UACCAGCACCCCGAGUGGUCGGGACGAUUAUUGGGCCUAAAGCAUCCGUAGCCGGUCUUGCAAGUCUUCCGUUAAAUCCACCUGCUUAACAGAUGGGCUGCGGAGGAUACUAUGGAGCUAGGAGGCGGGAGAGGCAAGCGGUACUUAGUGGGUAGGGGUAAAAUCCGUUGAUCCAUUGAAGACCACCAGUGGCGAAGGCGGCUUGCCAGAACGCACUCGACGGUGAGGGAUGAAAGCUGGGGGAGCAAACCGGG